rnacentral:lncRNA from 1 species
CACUGCACGUGACAUAUUAUGGUUGACAUGUUUUGCCAAUAAGCUUAUGAAUUAUUAAUGAGUGUUUGAAGUACAGUAGGAUCUUCUUGUUGUUGUUACAUGUGCAUCAAACUAAUUCAGAAUCUAUAGCUCCAUGGAUAAAUGCGAAAUAGUUCAGAACAAUGAGUUAAUGGAUAGUAUGUAGAAAUAGUAGGAUUUAAUGGAUUUUUGAAACAAUGAAAAGACAAUGGAAUGAGACUUUCCGAUCAUUCGAUCAAGAGUGGAUAGAAUAUUCAAUAUUAACUGUUAUAUGCAGAGGCGUAGCUACAAGGGAAGUGGUUCUGGACCCCCCACCGUCCCAUUCUUUCAAAGGUGAGGAGAAACUGGGGGGGGGGGCGUAACCUUUUAAUGCUUUUCAUCAUGCAUGACAUAAAAUACACCACUGAAUCUGUGUCUUUCAAAUUAUCAUGAAAUGCAUGAAAUAGCAUUUUGCAGACGCUAUAAAAAGAAAAUUGUGCCCCUGGACAAGCUGACGAUUUGUCCCCCUCCCCUUACUUGUUUGAGGCUAGUACCGUAUACUACGCCCCUGGUGCAUGUUAUCAGGCUAUGUAGGUGUUGUACAAACGACACAUUGACCAACUGAAGCAAACUUACCUCUCCUAUCACAAAAUAUUCCUCCAUAUCCCUCCCUACACUUGCAUGUAAACCUUCCUUCUUCUUCAUUAACACAAAUACCAUUGUUUUUACAGGGUUUAAUUUCGCACGGUUGAACUAAAAGAAUAUUCAAAGUAGUAUUCAAAACAAGAGCGCACUGGGUAGUUAUCCAUAUUUCAUCUCCAGUAUAAGUACAUUUAUCAUAAUACAAUAUAGAAUAAUAGUUCCAAAUUAAAAGACCUUGCAGUAUCCUCUGUAUCGAUAUCUUGGCCUCAUCAGUACAAUACUCAAAAAUGGUUAUUUUUACCGCGCGUAAUACAAAUGCCCGUAAACCUCCGACUAUAACUCUAUAAGCCCUGGGCUUAUAUUCUUUCGUAAGCGAUUUU